GAUGAACGCUGGCGGCGUGCCUAACACAUGCAAGUCGAGCGCGAUUAAUUGGACUGGAGACUUCGGUCAAAGGGAAGAUUAUGAAAGCGGCGGACGGGUGAGUAACGCGUGAGCAACCUGCCCUGUACAGGGGGAUAGCCACUGGAAACGGUGAUUAAUACCCCAUAAACCCAAAAGAUCGCAUGAUCUAAGGGGCAAAGUUCCAACGGUACAGGAUGGGCUCGCGUCUGAUUAGCUAGUUGGGGAGGUAACGGCUCAAGAAGGCGACGAUCAGUAGCCGACCUGAGAGGGUGAACGGCCACACUGGAACUGAGACACGGUCCAGACUCCUACGGGAGGCAGCAGUGGGGAAUAUUGCACAAUGGGCGCAAGCCUGAUGCAGCAACGCCGCGUGAGUGAUGAAGGCCUUCGGGUCGUAAAACUCUGUCCUAAGGGAAGAAGAAGUGACGGUACCUUAGGAGGAAGCCCCGGCUAACUACGUGCCAGCCGCCGCGGUAA
rnacentral:rRNA from 1 species